GCUGGUUGCCCGCGAAACGAAUAUAAGUUCUCCCUUAAUUUUACCCCCCAGACUCGACUACUUACUCGUAGCAAAUUAAGAGUAAUUUAAAGGAGGUACAGCUCCUUUAAAACAGAACACAACCUUCCCCAGAGGAUAAACCAAACACCUUAAAAUUGUAGGCCUUCAAGCAGCCACCAACAGAGAGUGCGUCAAAGCUCAUUACCCUAAAAAAUAAUAGACCCUAUGUGACUCCCUCAUUCAUAGCGAGCUAACCUAUCAAAAAUAGGAGAAUUAAUGCUAAAAUAAGUAACUAAGGAAUAAUCCUCUAAAGCACAAACUUACAUCCCACAUUAUUAACAGGCCAAUUAAUAACUCAACCACUACAAGACUAACUAUUUAACAUCCUGUUAAGCCAACCCAGGAGUGCUUAGCUAGAAAGAUUCAAACCUGUAAAAGGAAUUAGGCAAACCCAAGGCCCGACUGUUUACCAAAAACAUAGCCUUCAGCGAAACCAAGUAUUGAAGGUGGCGCCUGCCCAGUGACACCAAGUUCAACGGCCGCGGUAUCCUAACCGUGCAAAGGUAGCGCAAUCAAUUGUCCCAUAAAUCGAGACUUGUAUGAACGGCUAAACGAGGUCUUAACUGUCUCUUACAGGUAAUCAGUGAAAUUGAUCUCCCCGUGCAAAAGCAGGGAUAAACCCAUAAGACGAGAAGACCCUGUGGAACUUAAAAACCAGCAGCCACUCUACAAACCAAACAUACCCAACGGGUUUACCAUCAAUAGAUGAUUGGCUCCCGUUUUUCGGUUGGGGCGACCUUGGAGAAAAACGUAUCCUCCAAAAAUAAGACCACCCCUCUUGACCAAGAUCAACCACUCAAAGUACUAAUAGUAACCMGACCCAGCAUAGCUGACCAAUGAACCAAGCUACCCCAGG
rnacentral:rRNA from 1 species